AUUGAACGCUGGCGGCAGGCCUAACCCAUGCAAGUCGAGCGGAUGAAGGGAGCUUGCUCCUGGAUUCAGCGGCGGACGGGUGAGUAAGGCCUAGGAAUCUGCCUGGUAGGGGGGGAUAACGUCCGGAAAGGGGCGCUAAUACCGCAUACGUCCGGAGGGGGAAAGUGGGGGAUCUUCGGACCUCACGCUAUAAGAUGAGCCUAGGUCGGAUUAGCUAGUUGGUGGGGUAAAGGCCUACCAAGGCGACGAUCCGUAACUGGUCUGAGAGGAUGAUCAGUCACACUGGAACUGAGACACGGUCCAGACUCCUACGGGAGGCAGCAGUGGGGAAUAUUGGACAAUGGGCGAAAGCCUGAUCCAGCCAUGCCGCGUGUGUGAAGAAGGUCUUCGGAUUGUAAAGCACUUUAAGUUGGGAGGAAGGGCAGUAAGUUAAUACCUUGCUGUUUUGACGUUACCAACAGAAUAAGCACCGGCUAACUUCGUG
rnacentral:rRNA from 1 species